AGUGAACGCUGGCGGCAGGCCUAACACAUGCAAGUCGAACGGCAGCACAGUAAGAGCUUGCUCUUACGGGUGGCGAGUGGCGGACGGGUGAGGAAUACAUCGGAAUCUACUUUUUCGUGGGGGAUAACGUAGGGAAACUUACGCUAAUACCGCAUACGACGUACGGGUGAAAGCAGUGGAUCUUCGGACCUUGCGCGAUUGAAUGAGCCGAUGUCGGAUUAGCUAGUUGGCGGGGUAAAGGCCCACCAAGGCGACGAUCCGUAGCUGGUCUGAGAGGAUGAUCGGCCACACUGGAACUGAGACACGGUCCAGACUCCUACGGGAGGCAGCAGUGGGGAAUAUUGGGCAAUGGGCGCAAGCCUGAUCCAGCCAUACCGCGUGGGUGAAGAAGGCCUUCGGGUUGUAAAGCCCUUUUGUUGGGAAAGAAAAGCAGCAGGUUAAUACCCCGCUGUUCUGACGGUACCCAAAGAAUAAGCACCGGCUAACUUCGUG
rnacentral:rRNA from 1 species